rnacentral:rRNA from 1 species
AAAAAAGGUAAGCUACUAAGAGCGAAUGGUGGAUGCCUUGACUGGUAAAGGCGAUGAAGGACGUACUAGACUGCGAUAAGCUACGGGGAGCUGUCAAGAAGCUUUGAUCCGUAGAUUUCCGAAUGGGGCAACCCAAUGUAUAGAGAUAUACAUUACCUAUAUAGGAGCGAACGAGGGGAAUUGAAACAUCUUAGUACCCUCAGGAAAAGAAAUCAAUAGAGAUUGCGUCAGUAGCGGCGAGCGAAAGCGUAAGAGGGCAAACCCAGUGCUUGCACUGGGGGUUGUAGGACUGCAAUGUGCAAGAGGUGAGUUUAGCAGAACAUUCUGGAAAGUAUAGCCAUAGAGGGUGAUAGUCCCGUAUGCGAAAAACAAACCUUAGCUAGCAGUAUCCUGAGUAGGGCGGGACACGAGAAAUCCUGUCUGAAGCUGGGUCGACCACGAUCCAACCCUAAAUACUAAUACCAGAUCGAUAGUGCACAAGUACCGUGAGGGAAAGGUGAAAAGAACUGAGGUGAUCAGAGUGAAAUAGAACCUGAAACCAUUUGCUUACAAUCAUUCAGAGCACUAUGUAGCAAUACAGUGUGAUGGACUGCCUUUUGCAUAAUGAGCCUGCGAGUUGUGGUGUCUGGCAAGGUUAAGCAAACGCGAAGCCGUAGCGAAAGCGAGUCUGAAUAGGGCGCUUAGUCAGAUGCUGCAGACCCGAAACGAAGUGAUCUAUCCAUGAGCAAGUUGAAGCUAGUGUAAGAACUAGUGGAGGACUGAACCCAUAGGCGUUGAAAAGCCCCGGGAUGACUUGUGGAUAGGGGUGAAAGGCCAAUCAAACUUCGUGAUAGCUGGUUCUCUCCGAAAUAUAUUUAGGUAUAGCGUUGUGUCGUAAUAUAAGGGGGUAGAGCACUGAAUGGGCUAGGGCAUACACCAAUGUACCAAACCCUAUCAAACUCCGAAUACCUUAUAUGUAAUCACAGCAGUCAGGCGGCGAGUGAUAAAAUCCGUCGUCAAGAGGGAAACAACCCAGACUACCAGCUAAGGUCCCUAAAUCUUACUUAAGUGGAAAACGAUGUGAAGUUACUUAAACAACCAGGAGGUUGGCUUAGAAGCAGCCAUCCUUUAAAGAAAGCGUAAUAGCUCACUGGUCUAGUGAUUUUGCGCGGAAAAUAUAACGGGGCUAAAGUAAGUACCGAAGCUGUAGACUUGAUUUUAUCAGGUGGUAGGAGAGCGUUCUAUUUGCGCCGAAGGUAUACCGGUAAGGAGUGCUGGAGCGAAUAGAAGUGAGCAUGCAGGCAUGAGUAGCGAUAAUUAAUGUGAGAAUCAUUAACGCCGUAAACCCAAGGUUUCCUACGCGAUGCUCGUCAUCGUAGGGUUAGUCGGGUCCUAAGUCGAGUCCGAAAGGGGUAGACGAUGGCAAAUUGGUUAAUAUUCCAAUACCAACAUUAGUGUGCGAUGGAAGGACGCUUAGGGCUAAGGGGGCUAGCGGAUGGAAGUGCUAGUCUAAGGUCGUAGGAGGUUAUACAGGCAAAUCCGUAUAACAUACUCCGAGAACUGAAAGGCUUUUUGAAGUCUUCGGAUGGAUAGAAGAACCCCUGAUGCCGUCGAGCCAAGAAAAGUUUCUAAGUUUAGCUAAUGUUGCCCGUACCGUAAACCGACACAGGUGGGUGGGAUGAGUAUUCUAAGGCGCGUGGAAGAACUCUCUUUAAGGAACUCUGCAAAAUAGCACCGUAUCUUCGGUAUAAGGUGUGGUUCGCUUCGUAUUAGGAUUUACUCCGAAAGCGAAGAAACUUACAACAAAGAGUCCCUCCCGACUGUUUACCAAAAACACAGCACUCUGCUAACUCGUAAGAGGAUGUAUAGGGUGUGACGCCUGCCCGGUGCUCGAAGGUUAAUUGAUGGGGUUAGCAUUAGCGAAGCUCUUGAUCGAAGCCCGAGUAAACGGCGGCCGUAACUAUAACGGUCCUAAGGUAGCGAAAUUCCUUGUCGGUUAAAUACCGACCUGCAUGAAUGGCGUAACGAGAUGGGAGCUGUCUCAAAGAGGGAUCCAGUGAAAUUGUAGUGGAGGUGAAAAUUCCUCCUACCCGCGGCAAGACGGAAAGACCCCGUGGACCUUUACUACAGCUUGACACUGCUAUUUGGAUAAGAAUGUGCAGGAUAGGUGGGAGGCUUUGAGUAUAUGACGCCAGUUGUAUAUGAGCCAUUGUUGAGAUACCACUCUUUCUUAUUUGGGUAGCUAACCAGCUUGAGUUAUCCUCAAGUGGGACAAUGUCUGGUGGGUAGUUUGACUGGGGCGGUCGCCUCCCAAAUAAUAACGGAGGCUUACAAAGGUUGGCUCAGAACGGUUGGAAAUCGUUCGUAGAGUAUAAAGGUAUAAGCCAGCUUAACUGCAAGACAUACAAGUCAAGCAGAGACGAAAGUCGGUCUUAGUGAUCCGGUGGUUCUGUGUGGAAGGGCCAUCGCUCAAAGGAUAAAAGGUACCCCGGGGAUAACAGGCUGAUCUCCCCCAAGAGCUCACAUCGACGGGGAGGUUUGGCACCUCGAUGUCGGCUCAUCGCAUCCUGGGGCUGGAGCAGGUCCCAAGGGUAUGGCUGUUCGCCAUUUAAAGCGGUACGCGAGCUGGGUUCAGAACGUCGUGAGACAGUUCGGUCCCUAUCUGCCGUGGGCGUAAGAAGAUUGAAGAGAUUUGACCCUAGUACGAGAGGACCGGGUUGAACAAACCACUGGUGUAGCUGUUGUUCUGCCAAGAGCAUCGCAGCGUAGCUAAGUUUGGAAAGGAUAAACGCUGAAAGCAUCUAAGCGUGAAGCCAACUCUAAGAUGAAUCUUCUCUAAGCUCUCUAGAAGACUACUAGUUUGAUAGGCUGGGUGUGUAAUGGAUGAAAGUCCUUUAGCUGACCAGUACUAAUAGAGCGUUUGGCUUAUCUUUAAUAAAGCAU